rnacentral:lncRNA from 1 species
AAGGAGUCUCACUCUGUUUCCCAGGCUGGAAUGCAAUGGCACGGUCUCGGCUCACUGCAACUUCUGCCUCCCAGGUUCAAGAAAUUCUCCUGCCUCAGCCUCCCAGAGAGAAGCAGCUAUUCAGUAUUUGGCAGUCUCCUGACAAGUAGCACCACUGCCACAAAUCAGAGCCUGAGGAAAUAACAGCAAAUGAGAGGGAAGCUGCCUUGAGAUAGAAACUCUCAUCUGAAUCAACAGAGCUAGCCUCCUCCAUCUAUCAGGACUCCCAGCUUCUCCAGAUAAGUCACCAUCUUCAGAAGUUCUGAUGACCAACGUGGGAUGUGGUUAUUAGAAGCAUGUACUGUAAACACUGGACUCCUGAGGUUAGAUCUACUGCACUGGAGCUGUUGUCUUGGGGUUAAUUAGGAGUCAAGUUCAUUUUGGAAAAAAUAAUGUCACCAGUUUCUCAAAGGUGGCCUCAGUUGAGGAGCCUGGGGAGUUGAAGUCAUGAGCAUAAUUAGCCCAUGUAUGCUUUGAAAGUUGAGUCCAUUUGAAAGUUGUGAUGGAUUCUGAAGGAGAGCCCACCACAAUUAAGACUGUAAUGCAACAGACCAAGUGGAAAAUUUUUACUGAAUUUUAAUCAGAAGACUGAUGUAUUUGUCCAAUGACACUCAACUUCAGUGUUUCUAAGAAUCAAAAGAGGGUUGAAUGAUGUUUUCCAGGGCGCUGCCCCUAGAAACUCUAAUUAAGAACAUUGAGAUGUUUUGCAAAAACCUAAAAUUUUAGUAAGUAUACUAAAUCUAGUUGAGCUCUGUCAUCAAACAGUGUGUUAUCUUAUUAAUGCAUUUUACCAGAAUGACAAAAUAAUAUAGAGUUGUGAAUUUUGUUCAAGCUAAUCUAUAAAGCCAAUAUAAUUCCAACCCAAAUCCAUGCAUAAAUUUUGAAGUCACCCUGACAAUCAGAUUUCCAAAAUUUUCAUGAAAUUAUAAAACAAUUUUGUAAAGGGCAAGUAAUAUAGGCCCUCACUCUUCCUAGUAAAAAAAAACUAUGCUUUAGUAAUAAAAAAGAGCAUGCUAUUGGUGCAAGAAGAAAUAAGUAGUAUAGAGACAGAAAGGAGAGCUCAGAAAUUAAUGUAUGUGUAUUUGAGAACUUGGUCUUUGGCAGAAGUGACCUCACAAGUCAGUGAGAGAAUUAUAAUUAUGUACUAAAUAAUACUGGGAAGCCUCUGUGUAUUCCACCGCUCAGAAGGAGGUGACCUGGUGGAAUAUGAAACGGUUUACUUGAGGCUCAGUUACUGCACUGGCUCUGUGCCAAUACCUAGUACAGCCCCAUGUGUCUGCCCAAAGCAGAAUAUACUCUGAACCAGCAGCCAAAGGAUUGUGUUCAUUCUCUACUAACAAGAAUGUAUAAGUCUGAGAACCGACGUUUAAGGGGAGAUGAAAUGAAUCCUUCUGUUAUUACUCCUAAUGACUUAUAUGCAUAAGUUUGAGCUUUGUGGAUUAGAAGUGUUAUUUCACAAAGGAGUGUUACUUCCACCAGAAAACACAAAAAUGGUGAUUGAGAUGGCCCCUUGGCCACUUCAGUCUACUUUGUCCUUCUGUACCAGUAAUCUACAGACAGAAAUGAAUCCUGUUUUUUAACGAAAAAUAGGGUGUUGCCGCUACACUACCAAGGCAGAAAAUAGUAUGUCUAGAAUCUAGAUGUUCUAGGGCAUUUUUUAUUACUUCAUAUAUAAAGGCAAAAUUUAAUAGAAGACUAAAACAACCUAAUUUAGGCAGUCACUAAUAGUUCAAGCCCUUCAGAAAUGUUGGGGUAUUAGGUGAGUUCAAAAGAAUAUAAACAGGUGACAUUUUAAAAAGUCAUAAGCAUCAGUGAUAGUCAUGUUUACUUACAGAAACAAGGAUUGCAGUAGCUGUUUUAUUUUACUGCUUGCUUUAUUAUGUAUAUAUGUGUAUGUUGAUCAUUUUCCCAUCUUGUCUUAACCUACCAGUAUAUAUAAGGUGUGUUGAUGUUACAAAACAUUAUAAUUCCAUCUACAAAGAAAAGGCUAUCAAAUAAUUUAUUGUUUCAUUUUUAGAGAUAAAUGUGGGUACCUCUUUAUGUGAGAUGUAUUUUCGUUAUAUUCGUUAUUACUGUUUGGAAAUUUAAACAUCAACAGAAGGAUGUGUAUGGAUGGUGAAUAUCUAAAAGGGAAACCUGUGCUGACUAUAUUUUACUGAUAUUUAGUAUCAUACUUACACUUCUAAGUUCUCUGUACCACAAUGUAGGAAUAAAAAUUCUGGAAAUCCUGA